rnacentral:rRNA from 1 species
UACGUAGGGGGCAAGCGUUGUCCGGAUUUAUUGGGCGUAAAGAGCGUGUAGGCGGCCAGACAGGUCUGCUGUGAAAACUCGAGGCUCAACCUCGAGACGCCGGUGGAAACCGUCUGGCUAGAGUCCGGAAGAGGAGAGUGGAAUUCCUGGUGUAGCGGUGAAAUGCGCAGAUAUCAGGAAGAACACCCGUGGCGAAGGCGGCUCUCUGGUACGGUACUGACGCUGAGACGCGAAAGCGUGGGGAGCGAACAGG